GAUGAACGCUGGCGGCGUGCCUAAUACAUGCAAGUCGAGCGAACAGACGAGGAGCUUGCUCCUCUGACGUUAGCGGCGGACGGGUGAGUAACACGUGGAUAACCUACCUAUAAGACUGGGAUAACUUCGGGAAACCGGAGCUAAUACCGGAUAAUAUAUUGAACCGCAUGGUUCAAUAAUGAAAGACGGUUUUGCUGUCACUUAUAGAUGGAUCCGCGCCGCAUUAGCUAGUUGGUAAGGUAACAGCUUACCAAGGCAACGAUGCGUAGCCGACCUGAGAGGGUGAUCGGCCACACUGGAACUGAGACACGGUCCAGACUCCUACGGGAGGCAGCAGUAGGGAAUCUUCCGCAAUGGGCGAAAGCCUGACGGAGCAACGCCGCGUGAGUGAUGAAGGUCUUCGGAUCGUAAAACUCUGUUAUUAGGGAAGAACAAAUGUGUAAGUAACUAUGCACGUCUUGACGGUACCUAAUCAGAAAGCCACGGCUAACUACGUG
rnacentral:rRNA from 1 species